GUAGGUGGCAAGCGUUGUCCGGAAUUAUUGGGCGUAAAGCGCGCGCAGGCGGGUUUUUAAGUCUGAUGUGAAAGCCCACGGGCUCAACCGUGGAGGGUCAUUGGAAACUGGAGAACUUGAGUACAGAAGAGGAAAGCGGAAUUCCACGUGUAGCGGUGAAAUGCGUAGAGAUGUGGAGGAACACCAGUGGCGAAGGCGGCUUUCUGGUCUGUAACUGACGCUGAGGCGCGAAAGCGUGGGGAGCAAACAGGAUUAGAUACCCUGGUAGUCCACGCCGUAAACGAUGAGUGCUAAGUGUUAGGGGGUUUCCGCCCCUUAGUGCUGCAGCUAACGCAUUAAGCGCUCCGCCUGGGGAGUACGGCCGCAAAGGCUG
rnacentral:rRNA from 1 species